UACGGAGGGUGCAAGCGUUAUCCGGAUUCACUGGGUUUAAAGGGUGCGUAGGAGGGCAGGUAAGUCAGCGGUGAAAUCUCUGGGCUUAACCCGGAAACUGCCAUUGAUACUAUCUGUCUUGAAUGCGGUGGAGGUGAGCGGAAUAUGUCAUGUAGCGGUGAAAUGCUUAGAUAUGACAUAGAACACCGAUUGCGAAGGCAGCUCGCUACACCUGCAUUGACUCUGAGGCACGAAAGCGUGGGGAUCAAACAGG
rnacentral:rRNA from 1 species